rnacentral:rRNA from 1 species
AUUGAACGCUGGCGGCAGGCCUAACACAUGCAAGUCGAACGGAGUGGCGGACGGGUGAGUAAUGUCUGGGAAACUGCCUGAUGGCGGGGGAUAACUACUGGAAACGGUAGCUAAUACCGCAUACUAUCAGAUGAGCCUAGUUCGGAUUAGCUAGUUGGUGGGGUAAAGGCCUACCAAGGCGACGAUCCGUCACUGGUCUGAGAGGAGGAUCAGGCAAACUGGAACUGAGACACGUUCCAGACUCCUACGGUAGGCAGCAGUGGGGAAGAUGGGACAAUGGGCGAAAGCCUGAUCCAGCCAUGCCGGGUGUGUGAAGAAGGUAUUCGGAUUGUAAAGCACUUUAAGUUGGGAGGCGUUACCAACAGAAUAAGCACCGGCUAACUUCGUGCCAGCAGCCGCGGUAAUUC